CAGCCCUGUAGGAGACACCUCCAGAGAAAGUAACAGCUCUCAAUUGAUUAGCUGAGGAAGACACCAGACAAAUGAGUUACACUGUUUUGGACUCCCCAACACAACCCAGCCACCGGCUGAAUGCCACCAAAUUACCUUCUAGUUAAAGGUUUAUGGAGCAAACGAAUCACCUAUUCAAUAUCUGCUUGAAUUUCUGACUCAAAAUACAUCAGGUAUGUACUGUGUGACUUAAAUAUUGAGUUUAUUUUUAUCAAAUACCUGUCAAGAAAGAAAGUCAAUUCUGAAACAGCAGAAGCUCAAAGUUCUACAGAUGGCUUUCAAAGGAAUUUGAAUUAGACAUCAUUUGAUGUUGCAAAAAACAAUGACAUCUUUUAUAGCUCUAAACAUCAGUUUUUAAAUUAGAGAUUGAUCUAUAAAGGAGCUAAGUUUGCAUAAUCAUUAUUCAUUUUAAGAUAAUAAUAUAUGAUAGGUACUAAAUUAUAUAGUAGUUUUGUGUAGAGAUUUAUACAUAUUUUCUGAUUGCCAUCAUCACAUCAUCUAAUUAUUUAGAAAUUUCAUUUUCAGAACCUUGGAUUUUGGACAUAGAGCUUUGAAAAAUAUUGUACUUUAUUUUGAGAUGAAAAUGUGGUCAUUCACAUUUUCACAGACCUGCGUGGAGCAAUCUGCAGGGUGGGGGUGAGAUUUGGGAGUAGAGGGGAGGUGGUAAUAGACACACACAAAACUUGUUAAUUGCUAUACAAGAAGCAUGUGCUUUAAAAAUGACAAUAACAAUCACAAAACCAGUU
rnacentral:lncRNA from 1 species